rnacentral:rRNA from 1 species
CCCUUAGAUGUUCUGGGCCGCACGCGCGCUACACUGACGAAGUCAGCGAGCAUCUCCUACGCCGAAAGGUGCGGGGAAUCUUGUGAAACUUUGUCGUGCUGGGGAUUGAUUUUUGAAAUUCUUGAUCAUCAACGAGGAAUUCCUAGUAAGCGCAAGUCAGCAGCUUGCGUUGAUUACGUCCCUGCCCUUUGUACACACCGCCCGUCGCUACUACGGAUUGAAUGGUUUAGUGAGAUUUUUGGACUGGAACUCUCUUGUUCAGCAAUGAACGAGAGGGACUCUGGGAAGCUAUUCUAACUGUAUCAUUUAGAGGAAGUAAAAGUCGUAACA